rnacentral:rRNA from 1 species
GCGUGACCAACCUGCCCACUGCUCCAGAAUAGCUCUUGGAAACGGGUGGUAAUGCUGGAUGCUCCAACUUGACGCAUGUCUUGUUGGGAAAGUGUUUAGUGGCAUGGGAUGGGGGUCGCGUCCUAUCAGCUUGUAGGCGGGGUAAUGGCCCACCUAGGCUUCGACGGGUAGCCGGCCUGAGAGGGCGGACGGCCACAUUGGGACUGAGAUACGGCCCAGACUCCUACGGGAGGCAGCAGUC